GGAAUAUUGGUCAAUGGUCGAGAGACUGAACCAGCCAAGUAGCGUGCAGGAUGACGGCCCUAUGGGUUGUAAACUGCUUUUAUGCGGGGAUAAAGUGCGCCACGUGUGGCGUUUUGUAGGUACCGCAUGAAUAAGGACCGGCUAAUUCCGUGCCAGCAGCCGCGGUAAUACGGAAGGUCCGGGCGUUAUCCGGAUUUAUUGGGUUUAAAGGGAGCGCAGGCCGGAGGUCAAGCGUGACGUGAAAUGUAGCCGCUCAACGGCUGAGUUGCGUCGCGAACUGGUUUCCUUGAGUGAGUACGACGUCAGCGGAAUUCGUGGUGUAGUGGUGAAAUGCUUAGAUAUCACGAAGAACUCCGAUUGCGAAGGCAGCCAACAAGGCCUUUACUGACGCUAAAGCUCGAAGGUGCGGGUAUCGAACA
rnacentral:rRNA from 1 species